GAUGAACGCUGGCGGCGUGCUUAACACAUGCGAGUCGAACGAUUGAAGCUGGAGCUUGCUCCGGCCGAUUUAGUGGCGGACGGGUGAGUAACGCGUGGGUAACCUGCCUCAUACAGGGGGAUAGCAGUUGGAAACGACUGGUAAAACCGCAUAAGCGCACGGUAUCGCAUGAUACAGUGUGAAAACACUCCGGUGGUAUGAGAUGGACCCGCGUCUGAUUAGCUAGUUGGUGAGGUAACGGCCCACCAAGGCGACGAUCAGUAGCCGGCCUGAGAGGGUGAACGGCCACAUUGGGACUGAGACACGGCCCAAACUCCUACGGGAGGCAGCAGUGGGGAAUAUUGCACAAUGGGGGAAACCCUGAUGCAGCGACGCCGCGUGAGUGAUGAAGUAUUUCGGUAUGUAAAGCUCUAUCAGCAGGGAAGAUAAUGACGGUAC
rnacentral:rRNA from 1 species